GGUUUAGAAUAAGCACAAGAAAAGAAAGAAAGGAAGAAACGUAUAUGUAGCAGAUGUGGUGAACUCGGGCAUUAUAGAACUAACUGUAAAGUCAACUUGCCAAGCUAAACAAAAAUUGGUCUGGAUUCUUGAGCACCAAAUGCAUGGAUUUGUGGAAGAUGAAGUUCUCAACAGAAACUGGAAAUGGAAGCUACUUGUUUUGAGUUUAUUUUGUAAUGAAGCUAGUUGGAAAUGUAGACUGCAAAUGUACUAUCGUUUUGAGUUUAUUUUGUAAUGGAAGCUACUUGGAAAUGUUG